rnacentral:rRNA from 1 species
UACGUAGGGUCCGAGCGUUGUCCGGAAUCAUUGGGCGUAAAGCGCGUGUAGGCGGCUCGAUAAGUCUGCUGUGAAAGUCCAAGGCUCAACCUUGGGAUGCCGGUGGAUACUGUCGAGCUCGAGUCCGGAAGAGGAGUGUGGAAUUCCUGGUGUAGCGGUGAAAUGCGCAGAUAUCAGGAGGAACACCAAUGGCGAAGGCAGCACUCUGGGACGUGACUGACGCUGAGACGCGAAAGCGUGGGGAGCAAACAGG